CCUACGGGAGGCAGCAGUGAGGAAUAUUGGUCAAUGGACGAGAGUCUGAACCAGCCAAGUAGCGUGAAGGAUGACUGCCCUAUGGGUUGUAAACUUCUUUUAUAUGGGAAUAAAAUGUUCCACGUGUGGGUUUUUGUAUGUACCAUAUGAAUAAGGAUCGGCUAACUCCGUGCCAGCAGCCGCGGUAAUACGGAGGAUCCGAGCGUUAUCCGGAUUUAUUGGGUUUAAAGGGAGCGUAGGUGGAUUGUUAAGUCAGUUGUGAAAGUUUGCGGCUCAACCGUAAAAUUGCAGUUGAGACUGGCAGUCUUGAGUACAGUAGAGGUGGGCGGAAUUCGUGGUGUAGCGGUGAAAUGCUUAGAUAUCACGAAGAACUCCGAUUGCGAAGGCAGCUCACUAGACUGCAACUGACACUGAGGCUCGAAAGUGUGGGUAUCAAACAGGAUUAGAUACCCGAGUAGUU
rnacentral:rRNA from 1 species